rnacentral:sRNA from 1 species
AAAACUCGGUGGAGAAAAUGAUCAUGUC